AGUAAUUUUUCAGUAUUUUCAUCAUACAACAACUAUUUCCUGAUCAUACAAAAAUGGUUUCCAAGAAUAUCCUGGUCAUCAUGAGCCUCUUGGUCUUGGUGGUUGUUUUCAUCCCUUCAGAAGUAGCUGCAAACAAUUUUCAUGACACUACCUCUGGCUUAAAAGAAGUUAAUAAAGGAGAAGAAUCAAAAUCAAAUCUCAAAAUAGAUGAGUCAAACAGGAUUGAUCAGUCGCAGUGUAAAAGAUGCUGCGGCUUCUUGACACCAUGGGGUUGUGGCAUAUGUUGCUAAAGAUAUCAAUGGUUGGAACCUUAUAUACAAUGAAUAAAGCAUACACUCAUGUUGUUAUGGGAAUAAGAAUGUAUUUGAUGAUUUAUGUUUCAACAAGUACUUCUAUGGUCAAUCAUCAGUUAUAAUUUAUAAUACACAAGACAAUAGCAUAUGUGUUUUUCUAUUAUGAAAUUAGAACACAUUUUUUUGCGAUUCA